rnacentral:rRNA from 1 species
GGUUAAGCGACUAAGCGUACACGGUGGAUGCCCUGGCAGUCAGAGGCGAUGAAGGACGUGCUAAUCUGCGAAAAGCGUCGGUAAGGUGAUAUGAACCGUUAUAACCGGCGAUGUCCGAAUGGGGAAACCCAGUGCAAUUCGUUGCACUAUCGUUAACUGAAUACAUAGGUUAACGAGGCGAACCGGGGGAACUGAAACAUCUAAGUACCCCGAGGAAAAGAAAUCAACCGAGAUUCCCCCAGUAGCGGCGAGCGAACGGGGAGCAGCCCAGAGUCUGAAUCAGCUUGUGUGUUAGUGGAACGGUCUGGAAAGUCCGACGGUACAGGGUGAUAGUCCCGUACACCAAAAUGCACAGGCUGUGAACUCGAAGAGUAGGGCGGGACACGUGGUAUCCUGUCUGAAUAUGGGGGGACCAUCCUCCAAGGCUAAAUACUCCUGACUGACCGAUAGUGAACCAGUACCGUGAGGGAAAGGCGAAAAGAACCCCGGCGAGGGGAGUGAAAAAGAACCUGAAACCGUGUACGUACAAGCAGUGGGAGCACCUUCGGGUGUGACUGCGUACCUUUUGUAUAAUGGGUCAGCGACUUAUAUUCUGUAGCAAGGUUAACCGUAUAGGGGAGCCGCAGGGAAACCGAGUCUUAACUGGGCGUUAAGUUGCAGGGUAUAGACCCGAAACCCGGUGAUCUAGCCAUGGGCAGGUUGAAGGUUGGGUAACACUAACUGGAGGACCGAACCGACUAAUGUUGAAAAAUUAGCGGAUGACUUGUGGCUGGGGGUGAAAGGCCAAUCAAACCGGGAGAUAGCUGGUUCUCCCCGAAAGCUAUUUAGGUAGCGCCUCGUGAAUUCAUCUUCGGGGGUAGAGCACUGUUUCGGCUAGGGGGUCAUCCCGACUUACCAACCCGAUGCAAACUACGAAUACCGAAGAAUGUUAUCACGGGAGACACACGGCGGGUGCUAACGUCCGUCGUGAAGAGGGAAACAACCCAGACCGCCAGCUAAGGUCCCAAAGUCAUGGUUAAGUGGGAAACGAUGUGGGAAGGCACAGACAGCCAGGAUGUUGGCUUAGAAGCAGCCAUCAUUUAAAGAAAGCGUAAUAGCUCACUGGUCGAGUCGGCCUGCGCGGAAGAUGUAACGGGGCUAAACCAUGCACCGAAGCUGCGGCAGCGACACUAUGUGUUGUUGGGUAGGGGAGCGUUCUGUAAGCCUGCGAAGGUGUGCUGUGAGGCAUGCUGGAGGUAUCAGAAGUGCGAAUGCUGACAUAAGUAACGAUAAAGCGGGUGAAAAGCCCGCUCGCCGGAAGACCAAGGGUUCCUGUCCAACGUUAAUCGGGGCAGGGUGAGUCGACCCCUAAGGCGAGGCCGAAAGGCGUAGUCGAUGGGAAACAGGUUAAUAUUCCUGUACUUGGUGUUACUGCGAAGGGGGGACGGAGAAGGCUAUGUUAGCCGGGCGACGGUUGUCCCGGUUUAAGCAUGUAGGCUGAUUAUCCAGGCAAAUCCGGAUAAUCAAGGCUGAGGUGUGAUGACGAGGCACUACGGUGCUGAAGUAACAAAUGCCCUGCUUCCAGGAAAAGCCUCUAAGCAUCAGGUAACAUCAAAUCGUACCCCAAACCGACACAGGUGGUCAGGUAGAGAAUACCAAGGCGCUUGAGAGAACUCGGGUGAAGGAACUAGGCAAAAUGGUGCCGUAACUUCGGGAGAAGGCACGCUGGUGUGUAGGUGAAGUCCCUGCGGAUGGAGCUGAGACCAGUCGAAGAUACCAGCUGGCUGCAACUGUUUAUUAAAAACACAGCACUGUGCAAACACGAAAGUGGACGUAUACGGUGUGACGCCUGCCCGGUGCCGGAAGGUUAAUUGAUGGGGUUAUCCGUAAGGAGAAGCUCUUGAUCGAAGCCCCGGUAAACGGCGGCCGUAACUAUAACGGUCCUAAGGUAGCGAAAUUCCUUGUCGGGUAAGUUCCGACCUGCACGAAUGGCGUAAUGAUGGCCAGGCUGUCUCCACCCGAGACUCAGUGAAAUUGAACUCGCUGUGAAGAUGCAGUGUACCCGCGGCAAGACGGAAAGACCCCGUGAACCUUUACUAUAGCUUGACACUGAACAUUGAGCCUUGAUGUGUAGGAUAGGUGGGAGGCUUUGAAGCGUGGACGCCAGUCUGCGUGGAGCCAACCUUGAAAUACCACCCUUUAAUGUUUGAUGUUCUAACGUUGGCCCCUGACCGGGGUUGCGGACAGUGUCUGGUGGGUAGUUUGACUGGGGCGGUCUCCUCCCAAAGCGUAACGGAGGAGCACGAAGGUUAGCUAAUCCUGGUCGGACAUCAGGAGGUUAGUGCAAUGGCAUAAGCUAGCUUGACUGCGAGCGUGACGGCGCGAGCAGGUGCGAAAGCAGGUCAUAGUGAUCCGGUGGUUCUGAAUGGAAGGGCCAUCGCUCAACGGAUAAAAGGUACUCCGGGGAUAACAGGCUGAUACCGCCCAAGAGUUCAUAUCGACGGCGGUGUUUGGCACCUCGAUGUCGGCUCAUCACAUCCUGGGGCUGAAGUAGGUCCCAAGGGUAUGGCUGUUCGCCAUUUAAAGUGGUACGCGAGCUGGGUUUAGAACGUCGUGAGACAGUUCGGUCCCUAUCUGCCGUGGGCGCUGGAGAAUUGAGGGGGGCUGCUCCUAGUACGAGAGGACCGGAGUGGACGCAUCACUGGUGUUCGGGUUGUCAUGCCAAUGGCACUGCCCGGUAGCUAAAUGCGGAAGAGAUAAGUGCUGAAAGCAUCUAAGCACGAAACUUGCCCCGAGAUGAGUUCUCCCUGAGACUUUAAGUCUCCUGAAGGAACGUUAAAGACGAUGACGUUGAUAGGCCGGGUGUGUAAGCGCAGCGAUGCGUUGAGCUAACCGGUACUAAUGAACCGUGAGGCUUAACCUU